rnacentral:lncRNA from 1 species
GUUUGUUUCUCUACCAAUGAGCCGCCUCCAAUCUCGUUUUAGAGAAUUUGGCAGUACAUUCAACCGACCUCACAAUCGCAGACCGUGUGUAAGGCGUCGUGAAGGGCGAGCAGUUGUUGAUGUCAACGUUGUGAACAGAGGGCCCCAUGGUGGCGGUGGGGUUAUAGUAUGGGCCCCAUGGUGGCGGUGGGGUUAUAGUAUGGGCCCCAUGGUGGAGGUGGGGUUAUGGUAUGGGCCCCAUGGUGGAGGUGGGGUUAUGGUAUGGGCCCCAUGGUGGCGGUGGGGUUAUGGUAUGGGCCCCAUGGUGGCGGUGGGGUUAUGGUAUGGGCCCCAUGGUGGAGGUGGGGUUAUGGUAUGGGCCCCAUGGUGGAGGUGGGGUUAUGGUAUGGGCCCCAUGGUGGAGGUGGGGUUAUGGUAUGGGCCUCCUGGUGGCGGUGGGGUUAUGGUAUGGGCCCCAUGGUGGCGGUGGGGUUAUGGUAUGGGCCCCCUGGUGGAGGUGGGGUUAUGGUAUGGGCCCCAUGGUGGAGGUGGGGUUAUGGUAUGGGCCCCAUGGUGGCGGUGGGGUUAUGGUAUGGGCCCCAUGGUGGAGGUGGGGUUAUGGUAUGGGCCCCAUGGUGGAGGUGGGGUUAUGGUAUGGGCCCCAUGGUGGAGGUGGGGUUAUGGUAUGGGUCUCAUGGUGGCGGUGGGGUUAUGGUAUGGGCCCCAUGGUGGCGGUGGGGUUAUGGUAUGGGCCCCAUGGUGGCGGUGGGGUUAUGGUAUGGGCCCCAUGGUAGAGGUGGGGUUAUGGUAUGGGCCCCAUGGUGGAGGUGGGGUUAUGGUAUGGGCCCCAUGGUGGCGGUGGGGUUAUGGUAUGGGCCCCAUGGUGUAGGUGGGGUUAUGGUAUGGGCCCCAUGGUGGAGGUGGGGUUAUGGUAUGGGCCCCAUGGUGGCGGUAGGUGGGGUUAUGGUAUGGGCCCCAUGGUGGCGGUGUGGUUAUGGUAUGGGCCCCAUGGUGGAGGUGUGGUUAUGGUAUGGGCCCCAUGGUGGAGGUGGGGUUAUGGUAUGGGCCCCAUGGUGGAGGUGGGGUUAUGGUAUGGGCCCCAUGGUGGAGGUGGGGUUAUGGUAUGGGGCCCAU